GACGAACCGUGCGAACGUUAUUCGGAAUCACUGGGCUUAAAGGGUGCGUAGGCGGGUUGCCAAGUCUGUGGUGAAAUCCUCCAGCUUAACUGGAGAACGGCCAUGGAUGCUGGCGACCUCGAGGGGGGCAGGGGCUUGCGGAACUGUGCGUGGAGCGGUGAAAUGCGUUGAUAUGCACAGGAACUCCGGUGGCGAAGGCGGCGAGCUGGACCCUUUCUGACGCUGAAGCACGAAAGCCAGGGGAGCGAACGGG
rnacentral:rRNA from 1 species